GAUGAAGAACGCAGCGAAAUGCGAUAAGUAAUGUGAAUUGCAGAAUUCAGUGAAUCAUCGAAUCUUUGAACGCACAUUGCGCCCCCUGGUAUUCCGGGGGGCAUGCCUGUUCGAGCGUCAUUUCACCACUCAAGCCUCGCUUGGUAUUGGGCAACGCGGUCCGCCGCGUGCCUCAAAUCGACCGGCUGGGUCUUCUGUCCCCUAAGCGUUGUGGAAACUAUUCGCUAAAGGGUGCUCGGGAGGCUACGCCGUAAAACAAACCCAUUUCUAAGGUUGACCUCGGAUCAGGUAGGGAUACCCGCUGAACUUAAGCAUAUCAAAGCGGAGGA
rnacentral:misc_RNA from 1 species